UUUUUGUUAGACUGAUGUACUAUUUUGAGCAUGCCUAUGUUUGCUUAUCUGUUAUCUGUUUAUGGAAGCAUGUUAAGCAUGAUUUAUUUGUUAAUUCUGUAUGCAUGUUCUGUUAAUUUGAUUGGGGUGGGAUGGUAUAUGUUGGAGGAAGUGUUCUGAAAGGCAGAUUAUGCCUAAUAUCUGGCAGCACAGCUGCAUUAUAUCUGAUAUGUGCCGCAUCGGUAUAGCGUGGUGUGAAGGGCUGGAUGGUUGUUUUAAACUCCACAUGGUGUGUAGGGAUGGUCAAAGAUGGUGUGUAGAGGAUAGAGGUAACCCAUAGUAAUUGGCAGAUCGGUGCAGCAGAGGACUUGAUGGUGACCACCUAGUUUACUACUUCAUUUUGUUUUUGGGUUAUUAAGUUUUGGCAUUGAAGUUGUAUUUUCUGGGACUCUGGACUCUUUUAAAAGUUUUGACGUUGGUUUUGGGCUUUUUGGUUUUUACUUAUUUAUAACUUUGAUGAUUUUCUAAAA